AUAUAUUUAUAAUUUAUUAUACACAGCAAGCGAGGUGAGUAAGCAGACUCUUAUUUUGAAAUCACGCUGGCCAAGUUUAUGCCAUUUGAUCUAUUCCUGUUAGUAAUUAUUGAUUUAUUCCUACUAUUAUUCGUAAGAUAUUUAAUUCCGCACUAUUACUUUUUCAAAUGUGUGUGUCGCUUGCUUAUUCCAUUUGCAUUGUUGUAAUUUUAUUUCCGUUUUAUCGAGCCAGAUCUGAGCUGGUGGGUGUGGACGGGGACUCUUAUUCUGAAGUGUGUGUAGGCGCUGGUGUGAUAGCGGAAGUUCGUGCCGCUGAUAGCUGCAGUUCAGGCGGAUCCCGUCAGUGUCUGAUCACAAACUUUCUGUCAAACCCGAAAAACACACGGAAUCCGGCUGAGGAUGUGAACAGGACUCUGGAAGGAGGCCGGAAGCCGCUUCAUUACGCUGUGGACUGCGGUCAGGCCGAGAUGGUGGAGUUUCUGCUAUCUAAAGGAGCCGAUGUGAACGUAAGUGUCCUGUGUGUGUGUGUGUGUGUGUGUGUGUGUGUGUGUGUGUUUAGAUGACUAUCGGCUCCAGACAGUAUGUAAAUGUUUAAUGUGAGGAGUCACUGGAGCAGUUAUUACUCGCUCAAACCUGAUAGCAUCAAACCAGCAGCCUGUGAUUCACGCUCUCCUCCCAUCAGCAGGUCCACUUCUGCUAAAUUAAAGCAGAAAACAGCUAUUUUAAAUAGUAAUAAUAUUUCACAGUGUUACUGUUUUUACCGUGUUUUUUGAUCAAAUGAAUGCAGCCUUGGUCAUAAGUGUCAAUUUUUUGAAAUUGAGAUUUAUAUAUCAUCUGAAAGCUGAAUAAAUAAUCUCUCCAUUGAUGUAUGGUUUGUUAG
ensembl:lncRNA